GACGAACGCUGUCGGCGUGCUUAACACAUGCAAGUCGAACGGAAAGGCCCUGCUUUUGUGGGGUGCUCGAGUGGCGAACGGGUGAGUAACACGUGAGUAACCUGCCCUUGACUUUGGGAUAACUUCAGGAAACUGGGGCUAAUACCGGAUAGGAGCUCCUGCUGCAUGGUGGGGGUUGGAAAGUUUCGGCGGUUGGGGAUGGACUCGCGGCUUAUCAGCUUGUUGGUGGGGUAGUGGCUUACCAAGGCUUUGACGGGUAGCCGGCCUGAGAGGGUGACCGGCCACAUUGGGACUAAGAUACGGCCCAGACUCCUACGGGAGGCAGCAGUGGGGAAUAUUGCACAAUGGGCGGAAGCCUGAUGCAGCAACGCCGCGUGCGGGAUGACGGUCUUCGGGUUGUAAACCGCUUUCGCCUGUGACGAAGCGUGAGUGACGGUAAUGGGUAAAGAAGCACCGGCUAACUACGUGCCAGCAGCCGCGGUGAUACGUAGGGUGCGAGCGUUGUCCGGAUUUAUUGGGCGUAAAGGGCUCGUAGGUGGUUGAUCGCGUCGGAAGUGUAAUCUUGGGGCUUAACCCUGAGCGUGCUUUCGAUACGGGUUGACUUGAGGAAGGUAGGGGAGAAUGGAAUUCCUGGUGGAGCGGUGGAAUGCGCAGAUAUCAGGAGGAACACCAGUGGCGAAGGCGGUUCUCUGGGCCUUUCCUGACGCUGAGGAGCGAAAGCGUGGGGAGCGAACAGGCUUAGAUACCCUGGUAGUCCACGCUGUAAACGGUGGGUACUAGGUGUGGGGUCCAUUCCACGGGUUCCGUGCCGUAGCUAACGCUUUAAGUACCCCGCCUGGGGAGUACGGCCGCAAGGCUAAAACUCAAAGGAAUUGACGGGGCCCCGCACAAGCGGCGGAGCAUGCGGAUUAAUUCGAUGCAACGCGUAGAACCUUACCUGGGUUUGACAUGGAUCGGGAGUGCUCAGAGAUGGGUGUGCCUCUUUUGGGGUCGGUUCACAGGUGGUGCAUGGCUGUCGUCAGCUCGUGUCGUGAGAUGUUGGGUUAAGUCCCGCAACGAGCGCAACCCUUGUUCACUGUUGCCAGCACGUUAUGGUGGGGACUCAGUGGAGACCGCCGGGGUCAACUCGGAGGAAGGUGGGGAUGACGUCAAGUCAUCAUGCCCCUUAUGUCCAGGGCUUCACGCAUGCUACAAUGGCUGGUACAGAGAGUGGCGAGCCUGUGAGGGUGAGCGAAUCUCGGAAAGCCGGUCUCAGUUCGGAUUGGGGUCUGCAACUCGACCUCAUGAAGUCGGAGUCGCUAGUAAUCGCAGAUCAGCAACGCUGCGGUGAAUACGUUCCCGGGGCU
rnacentral:rRNA from 1 species